rnacentral:rRNA from 1 species
CUAAUACUGGAUAGGACUGCAUCCUGCAGUGGGGUGUGGUAGGAAAAGUCCUUUGGGUGGUGUGGGAUGUGCUCGCGGCCUAUCAGCUUGAUGGUGGGGUAGUGGCCUACCAUGGCUUUGACGGUAGCCGGCCUGAGAGGGUGACCGGUCACACUGGGACUGAGACACGGCCCAGACUCCUGCGGGAGGCAGCAGUGGGGAAUAUUGGACAAUGGGCGGAAGCCUGAUCCAGCAACGCCGCGUGAGGGAUGACGGCCUUCGGGUUGUAAACCUCUUUCGCUCAUGACGAAGUUCUGCUUUUUGGGUGGGGUGACGGUAGUGGGAGAAGAAGCACCGGCCAACUACGUG